rnacentral:rRNA from 1 species
UACAGAGGGUGCAAGCGUUGUUCGGAAUCAUUGGGCGUAAAGGGCGUGUAGGCGGUCUGUUAAGUCAUGUGUGAAAUCCCUCGGCUCAACCGGGGAACGACGCAUGAAACUGACAAGCUAGAGUACCAGAGAGGGGGGUGGAAUUCCCGGUGUAGCGGUGUAAUGCGUAGAUAUCGGGAGGAACACCGGUGGCGAAGGCGGCCCCCUGGUUGGAUACUGACGCUGAGACGCGAAAGCGUGGGGAGCAAACAGG